rnacentral:rRNA from 1 species
AUUGAACGCUGGCGGCAUGCCUUACACAUGCAAGUCGAACGGCAGCACGGGUGCUUGCACCUGGUGGCGAGUGGCGAACGGGUGAGUAAUACAUCGGAACGUACCUUAUCGUGGGGGAUAACGCAGCGAAAGUUGCGCUAAUACCGCAUACGCCCUGAGGGGGAAAGCGGGGGACCGUAAGGCCUCGCGCGAUUAGAGCGGCCGAUGUCUGAUUAGCUUGUUGGUGAGGUAAAAGCCCACCAAGGCGAUGAUCAGUAGCUGGUUUGAGAGGACGAUCAGCCGCACGGGGGCUGAGACACGGCCCAGACUCCUACGUGAGGCAGCAGUGGGGAAUUUUGGACAAUGGGGGCAACCCUGAUCCAGCAAUGCCGCGUGAGUGAAGAAGGCCUUCGGGUUGUAAAGCUCUUUUGUCAGGGAAGAAACAGCAGCUCUAACACAGUCUGCGAAUGACGGUACCUGAAGAAUAAGCACCGGCUAACUACGUGCCAGCCGCCGCCGUAA